rnacentral:tRNA from 2 species
GGACCGGUCGUCUAGUUUGGUUUGGAUGACGCACUCACACUGCGUAGGUCGUGGGUUCAAAUCCCAUCCGGUCCACCA